rnacentral:rRNA from 2 species
UACGGAGGGAGCUAGCGUUGUUCGGAAUUACUGGGCGUAAAGCGCGCGUAGGCGGCUUUUUAAGUCAGAGGUGAAAGCCCGGGGCUCAACCCCGGAAUUGCCUUUGAAACUGGAAAGCUAGAAUCUUGGAGAGGUCAGUGGAAUUCCGAGUGUAGAGGUGAAAUUCGUAGAUAUUCGGAAGAACACCAGUGGCGAAGGCGACUGACUGGACAAGUAUUGACGCUGAGGUGCGAAAGCGUGGGGAGCAAACAGG